CCCCUCUCAGGAUGGCACCUAGAGAGUUUCCCCUACUCUACCAGUCUCGGCUAUGGGAGGGAGAGUCAAGCAGAGGCCUACACGUUCCAUUCCAGCUUGGGCAGUAGCUAGCAAGUGGAAGGCAAUCUGCUACAAAU
rnacentral:snoRNA from 1 species